AUUGAACGCUGGCGGAAUGCUUUACACAUGCAAGUCGAGCGGCAGCACGGGGGUAACCCUGGUGGCGAGCGGCGAACGGGUGAGUAAUACAUCGGAACAUGCCCAGUCGUGGGGGAUAACACUUCGAAAGAAGUGCUAAUACCGCAUACGUCCUGAGGGAGAAAGCGGGGGAUCGCAAGACCUCGCGCGAUUUGAGUGGCCUAUGUCAGAUUAGCUAGUUGGUGGGGUAAAGGCCUAACAAGGCAACGAUCUGUAGCUGGUCUGAGAGGAUGAUCAGCCACACUGGGACUGAGACACGGCCCAGACUCCUACGGGAGGCAGCAGUGGGGAAUUUUGGACAAUGGGGGCAACCCUGAUCCAGCCAUUCCGCGUGAGUGAAGAAGGCCUUCGGGUUGUAAAGCUCUUUCGGCAGGAACGAAGCGGUGAGCUCUAACAUAGCUUGCUAAUGACGGUACCUGAAGAAGAAGCACCGGCUAACUACGUG
rnacentral:rRNA from 1 species